rnacentral:sRNA from 1 species
GCUUCACGGCGCCGGGACCCGGGCUGGAAGGCAGGGCAUCAGCUAUGGAACAACCUGGGCAGGAUCCCACCUCAGAAGACGUCAUGGACUCGUUCCUGGAAAAGUUCCAGAGCCAGCCUUACCGUGGCGGCUUUCAUGAGGACCAGUGGGAGGAGGAAUUUGAAAAGGUCCCCCUAUUUAUGACGAGAGCGCCAUCAGAAAUUGAUCCCAGGGAGAAUCCUGACUUGGCUUGUCUCCAGUCAAUUAUUUUUGAUGAGGAGCGUUCUCCAGAAGAACAGGCCAAGACCUAUAAAGAUGAGGGCAAUGAUUACUUUAAAGAAAAAGACUACAAGAAAGCUGUAAUUUCAUACACUGAAGGCUUAAAGAAGAAAUGUGCAGAUCCUGAUUUGAAUGCUGUCCUUUAUACCAACCGGGCAGCAGCACAGUACUAUCUGGGUAAUUUAUAAGUGCUUUCUGAAGAAUAAACUUAUGAUACAAGCCAUUAUGAUGGUAGUGGAGGUUAGAGAACAUCAGAGGAUGAGGGGCUGUUAUCACAGAAACCCAGACUA